rnacentral:rRNA from 1 species
GGCUUUUUGAUUUAAUUUAAAGUCUGGCCUGCCCAAUGAAAUUUUUAAUGGCCGCGGUAUUUUGACCGUGCUAAGGUAGCAUAAUCAUUAGUUUUUUAAUUGAAGACUGGAAUGAAAGGUUUGAUGAGAAAAUUACUGUCUCUGAAUAAUUAUAUUGAAUUUUAUUUUUAAGUUAGAAAGCUUAAAUUUUUUUGAAAGACGAUAAGACCCUAUAGAGUUUUAUUAAUUUUAUAAUUUUUUAUUUUGGUAAAGUUUUUAUUUAAUUAUAAAGUUAAUUUGGUUGGGGUGACCAAAAAAUUUAUUUAACUUUUUUUUUAUAUAACGAUAAUAAAUGGUUUAAUGAUCCAUUCUUUGUGAUUGUAAGUAUUAAAUUACCUUAGGGAUAACAGCGUAAUUUUUUUUGAGAGUUCUUAUCGAAAAGAGAGAUUGCGACCUCGAUGUUGGAUUAAGAUAAAAUUUUGGUGUAGAAGCUGGAAUAUUAAGUCUGUUCGACUUUUUAAAUCUUACA